GCAUCGGUAGUGUAAUGGAUCAGCACUUCAGAUCGGAAGUGCGGGUUCAAGUCCCGCCUGAGGUU
rnacentral:tRNA from 1 species